rnacentral:rRNA from 1 species
GACGUAGGGUGCGAGCGUUGUCCGGAUUUAUUGGGCGUAAAGAGCUCGUAGGCGGCUUGUCGCGUCGACCGUGAAAACUUGGGGCUCAACCCCAAGCCUGCGGUCGAUACGGGCAGGCUAGAGUUCGGUAGGGGAGACUAGAAUUCCUGGUGUAGCGGUGAAAUGCGCAGAUAUCAGGAGGAACACCGGUGGCGAAGGCGGGUCUCUGGGCCGAUACUGACGCUGAGGAGCGAAAGCGUGGGGAGCGAACAGG